AUGGUCAUGUUGGAUAGUCCUGGGCAGGCAAGAGGAAAGUUGAGUAAAUGUGUGUCUAAAACGUGCAUUUCUAGAACGCUGAUGCCUAAGAAGAACCGGAUUGCCAUUUAUGAAACUCCUUUUUAAAGAGGAAGUCACGGUGGUCAAGAAGGAUGUCCACAUGCCUAAGCACCUGGAGCUGGCAGACAAGAAUAAUGUGCCCAACCUUCACGUCAUGUGGUCCCGAGGCUACUACGUGAAGGAACAGUUUGCCUGGAGACAUUUCUACUGGUACCUUACCAAUGAGGGUAUCCAGUAUCUCCGUGAUUACCUUCAUCUGCCCCUGGAGAUUGUGCCUCCCACCCUACGCCGCAGCCGUCCAGGGACUGGCAGGCCUGGGUCUAAAGUUCUGGAGGGUGAGCGACCUGCAAGACUCACAAGAGGGGAAGCCGACAGAGAUACCUACAGAGGGAGUGCUGUGCCCCCUGGUGCCGACAAGAAAGCCGAGGCUGGGGCUGGGUCAGCAACCGAAUUCCAGUUUAGAGGCGGAUUUGGUCGUGGACGCCGUCAGCCACCUCAGUAA